AUUGAACGCUGGCGGCAUGCCUUACACAUGCAAGUCGAACGGCAGCACGGGAGCAAUCCUGGUGGCGAGUGGCGAACGGGUGAGUAAAGUAUCGGAACGUGCCCAGUCGUGGGGGAUAACGUAGCGAAAGUUACGCUAAUACCGCAUACGAUCUACGGAUGAAAGCGGGGGAUCGCAAGACCUCGCGCGAUUGGAGCGGCUGAUAUCAGAUUAGGUAGUUGGUGGGGUAAAGGCUCACCAAGCCGACGAUCUGUAGCUGGUCUGAGAGGACGACCAGCCACACUGGGACUGAGACACGGCCCAGACUCCUAGGGGAGGCAGCAGUGGGGAAUUUUGGACAAUGGGCGCAAGCCUGAUCCAGCCAUGCCGCGUGCAGGAUGAAGGCCUUCGGGUUGUAAACUGCUUUUGUACGGAACGAAAAGGUUUGGCCUAAUAAGCUGGACCCAUGACGGUACCGUAAGAAUAAGCACCGGCUAACUACGUGCCAGCAGCCGCCGUAAAAC
rnacentral:rRNA from 1 species